rnacentral:rRNA from 1 species
GUCUCUUUGUUGUAAUUAUAUAAAGAGUCGGGCCUGCUCGGUGAAAUAAUUUUAACAGCUGCGGUAUUUUAACUGUACUAAGGUAGCAUAAUAAUUUGCCUUAUAAUUUGAGGCUAGAAUGAAUGGUUUGACGAAGGUUAAUCUGUCUCUAUUUUAUUUUUUAGAAUUUAAUUUUUAUGUGAAAAAGCUUAAAUUUUUUAAAGGGACGAGAAGACCCUAUUGAGCUUAUAAUUUUAUUUAUUUUUGAUAAUAUUAUAAAGAAUAAUAUAAAUUUUGAUUGGGGUGAUCAAGGAAUAAUAAUUAUAUAAUAACUUCCUUAUACUUAUUAAUUGGUAAAUUAAUUAACCAAUAUUAUUGAUUAUAAUUAAGUUACCAUAGGGAUAACAGCGUAAUUUAUUUUGAGAGUUCUUAUCGAAAAAUAAGAUUGCGACCUCGAUGUUGGAUUAAAGUAACCUUAGGGUGUAGAAGUUCUAGAAGGUAAAUCUGUUCGAUUUUUAAAAUUUUACA